rnacentral:lncRNA from 1 species
GAAACAUCAUUGGAGAAUUUCAUGGCAUCAUAAACAUUAAAUUUUAUAAUUUCCCCUUCAAACUCCAUGGUCAAUGUGCCAUCAUGCACAUCAAUUUUUGUUCUUGCUGUGCUCAAGAAUGGUCUCCCAAGUAGGAUGUCAGAGGUGAUUUUGCCCUUAUCCUCCUCCAUGUCAAUCACAUAAAAAUCUGCUGGGAAGACUAGUUGGUCAACUUGUACCAACACAUCUUCUAGCACUCC